rnacentral:rRNA from 1 species
UACGGAGGGGGCAAGCGUUAUUCGGAAUUAUUGGGCGUAAAGGGCGCGUAGGCGGCUAGAUGUGUCAAAGGUGAAAUCCCUCGGCUCAAUUGAGGAACUGCCUUUGAAACUGUCUGGCUUGAGGCCGGGAGAGGGUAGCGGAAUUCCCAGUGUAGCGGUGAAAUGCGUAGAUAUUGGGAGGAACACCAGUGGCGAAGGCGGCUACCUGGACCGGUUCUGACGCUGAGGCGCGAAAGCGUGGGUAGCAAACAGG